CNGAAGACUCACACCCACGUACGCCUGGC
rnacentral:piRNA from 1 species